UACAGAGGUGGCAAGCGUUGUUCGGAAUUACUGGGCGUAAAGGGCGCGUAGGCGGUUCGUUAAGUCCUGUGUGAAAUCCUCCGGCUCAACUGGGGAACUGCACAGGAAACUAGCGGGCUUGAGUUCGGGAGAGGGAAGCGGAAUUCCGGGUGUAGCGGCGAAAUGCGUAGAUAUCCGGAGGAACACCGGUGGCGAAGGCGGCUUCCUGGACCGACACUGACGCUGAGGCGCGAAAGCUAGGGGAGCAAACGGG
rnacentral:rRNA from 1 species